GACAGAGGGUGCAAACGUUGUUCGGAAUUACUGGGCGUAAAGCGCGUGUAGGCGGCUAAGUAAGUCGGGCGUGAAAUCCCACGGCUCAACUGUGGGCUUGCAUUCGAUACGGGCAGGCUAGAGUUCGGUAGGGGAGACUGGAAUUCCUGGUGUAGCGGUGAAAUGCGUUGAUAUGUGUCGGAACACCAAUGGCGAAAGCAGUCUUCUGGACGCAAACUGACGCUGAGAUACGAAAAGCCAAGGUAGCCAAACAAGGG
rnacentral:rRNA from 1 species